UACGGAGGGGGCUAGCGUUGUUCGGAAUUACUGGGCGUAAAGGGCGCGUAGGCGGCGCGAUAAGUUGGGCGUGAAAGGCCCGGGCUCAACCCGGGGACUGCGCUUGAUACUGUCGCGCUGUGAGUCCGGGAGAGGAUGGCGGAAUUCCCAGUGUAGAGGUGAAAUUCGUAGAUAUUCGCAAGAACACCAGUGGCGAAGGCGGCUCACUGGCCCGGUACUGACGCUGAUGUGCGAAAGCGUGGGGAGCAAACAGG
rnacentral:rRNA from 1 species